AAUCGGCCGUGGCGGUAGCCGGUCCGCUGAUUUGAGCUAAGACUGGUUCGCAUUACCCAAGCCAUUGCCAGGAACGUCAAAAUCCCUGACUCAAAACGGAAAAUGUCCAUGGAUUCAUGGAUCUUUGUAUCAUAUUGCACACAGUAUGCUUUCUGCGGAUUUCCGAAGCUGUUCCUUUUUUCUUCUUCUCUGAUUUCACCUCUCUCCGCCAGAGGAGGGGGGAAUAAGAUUAGCUCCACCAAAAACGUUUGAGAACCAAGAAACGCUGAGAAAACUUCUCAGUUAUCAUAACCCGCCCUGCGCUUUCCCUGGGAAAAGGCCUAUUGCCCAAGGGACACCUCGUUGACGAGAGCAUGCAGCCAUCCAUUGGAAGGAAACUCACGUCUUUCUUUUGUCCACGUCUUCUAAGUUACGGGAAAUUAUGUCGCUGUUGGUUCAAAAUUCGGUUGACUACAGUAAUAUCAUAGUACUGUUCAUCUGUUGGGUAUUUUAUGCUUAUAUCCUGACACAACUAACAGGAAAAGGAGAAUGGAAGGAGGCGAAACGAAGGAAAUUGAUGAAGCUUUGAAGCAGGGGGAUGUGGCGUGUGCUAAUGAUAGUUAGAUACGCAUGUACUGUACGGAGUACCUCCUGCAGAUCAUGAUAUAUACAUACAAGCCGCAAUCGCUCGCUUGCGCUCGCUUAUCCAGCUUGAAAACACACCGUUUAAUCCCCCAA
rnacentral:sRNA from 1 species